CAUGCCGUGUCAGUUUUUGUUAUCAAACGAUCGAUGAUUUUUUAGUGAGGUGACAUUAAAUCAAACGGAAACCACUCCUGCUAUUCAAUCGACGGUUAUCUAUUGUUCUAAUAAUCGGAUUUUGUGAAGUCCGCACAGUGAAAUCAUUUUGCUAAAAUCAUGGGAUUUUCGCAAAAUUAUACAGACACAUUCAGUUUUGCAGCUGUUGAUGUUGAUGAUUUUCCUUUGAAGCUAGCGUUGUUCAUUCUGUGAAUAGUGAGACUGAUUGAAGAACGAAUUGAAGUGUAGAACAAGUUACCCCAUUACAAGACCACGAUGUUGCUAACACCAAUCGUGGGGCAAACUUACAGUUGGUCAUAGAAGCAACAAAAGUAUCCAUGGGUAGGAUGGGAAACAGUGGAGGAAUCGUUCAACAUCAGACAGUCUUAACGCCCAUUGGUGGAAGUUUGUGGUACAAGGCGGUAUUGUUGAACGUACAAGAUCCGGUUGUGCGCGAAAUCGGAAAUCUAAAAGUCACGGCCACUUACAUAUAUUUCAAAGGUAAAUCAGACAUCAAAAGAUGGCCGAUACAGAACAUCACUAAAUUCAGACGACAUGACUCUGUAUUUUCUUUCGAAUACGUAUUGAAGAGAGUUGAUGACGGAGAAGGUCUGAAUAUUAUGGAAGCGCCAAGCAAGGAAUAUUUUAAGACGGAUCAUGCAAUGGAGGUGUUUAAUACGUCGGUGACGUUUAGCAAGAUCAUGGAAGAUGCACAUUACUGGAAGAAGGAACUUGAAAAUGCAAUGCUAUACUAGAAUGUGGCAACCCUUUCCGAUAUGACCGUGAGACUCCUGAAGUUGAGUUGAAUGCUAGGACUCUAUAUGCCCAAUCGGGUUGGAAGCAAUGUCGGGGCCAGCAGGAAAGAGAGUAAGCCCCACCCGACGUCGAACAGACCAAGUUCCCCCUUUCCUGUCCAUCGGACACAAGUCGUCAAAAAAAAUAUAAAAGAACAUAUUAUUUUCAUUUUUUAAAGAAAUAUUUGGACAUACUAAAACGUGUAUUAGAACAGCUUUUAACCAAAAUUGCACAUUCUGUUUGAAGCGAGCCCCAUGGCUCCAACUCCGCUGUCUCUGCGUCCGAAAUUUUUAGACCCCUUGUUGAACAGCUUAGCCCUACACCCCACCCCUACCGUCGGGCAAAUCCUGGGACCGGCACUGGUUGGAUGCAUACCCUAUAUUUUUUUGUUACAGGUUUGAACAUAUUUAGGUAACGUACGGAGGCUGGUGUUGUUAAGCUUCUAAAAUAAUUACCUUGAUAAUUAUGUUUAUGCAUGAAAUGGAAUUGAAUGAUUAGGGCCUAUUUUCUCUUUUUUUUUUAUUUGAUUUGAUUUAUUUUGCAUUCAGUGUUACACAUUACAAUAAAAUCAAGAGAAAAUACAUACAGAUAUAAAAGAGAAAAAAAUAAUUGAAUGCCUGGAUAACCCAUCCACCCAGGUUAGCACCACACUUAUUUCCAAUGGGGUCCAGAAGCCAGCGGAAUUAUUGCACAGAGGUGAAUAUUUACAGAUAGUUAGUGAAUCUUUAAUUUAUUUCCACUUUUUGGUUUCUGUUUUGAUUUUAACUCAUCCGUCCUUCCUCCAUUUCGAUGGGUCUAUAAGAAGGUAAUGAUAUGGAUAAACAUAAGCGUAAUAUUAGGAUUAAUAACAUUUAUGUAACAUUGAUAAGGGCUAAUUAUUUUGAUCAUAAUAGUUAAUAUAUCAACCCUAACGCUAAUAUUAUAAUUAUACUAAAACUAAUAUUGGGAUGCCAUGAAAUAUGUACACUUUAUUUAAUAGACUUCCAAAAAAUUGAACAUAUUCCCACAACCCUAAUCCUAUCAAAGUUACAAUUAAAACAUAGUUUGCAGAAGAGAUUUAUAAUGGCAGUCAUGUGCGGCACAUAGACCCACAUAAUAUGUUCGAGGCCUAUUAUUAUUUCGUGUUAUAUUAUCAUCUGUAAAGUAUGUCAACUACCAUUUUUAUAAACCAAUCAGACAGUAUGCCUACUCGUUUUUACUAUUAACCCACCAAAAUGUUCAGUUUACAAAUUUUGAUAUUGGUUGUAAUAAGUUGUACCAGCAUUUAUUAUUAUUCGACCAGGGUAUGAUUAUUUAAAAUCGUGUGGUCGAUAUUGACGCUAACAGUUGAACAUGCCAAAUACAGGCGUAGCAAUAAUAAGCCUUUCCCACCUAACACAAAGGGGGUUGACGCUUCCCCCAAAGCAUUUCUUGGUAAUGGCCAUCAAACCAUUGUACUUCAUUACAAAUGUUAGACCCAGCCUAUCUAAAUAAAAUGUAGAUCAUUUGUUUCAAUUAUACUGAGGUAGAGUUACGCUGUUUGAUAAAUUCCACUUUUCUUCCUUAAUUUUAAUACAUAAUUUUACGAAUAAAGUACGUUUGUUAUAAAUACUUACAUAAUUUUACAUUUUUUUAUUGCAAGCCUUUCAACUUUUGUAAUUGUAAAAGGUUACACGGGAACGCCAAUGCAUUAUUAUGUUUUCCCCUUUUUGUAAUAACAUAAACGGAAACAAUUCAAAUGAAGUUGUAUACAAGUGACAACGCCAGGUCGGCAAUAUUCUGAGCUCACAAUAAAAUAAAUAUUGAUCAUCAACUUCCUGUAGUGCGAUUGGUCGUGGGGAACCCCAAAAAUGUCAAGUGUUUACGUGGAAAGUUGUAUCAGUUGUGCUGGUCAUAACACUGAUUUGUCAGAAAAUGCCACUUUAUAUAUAGUCAUAUUUGUAAUUAUUAUAUUUAUUCAUAUUAUUAUUAUUAGAUUAGUAGUAACAGCAGUAGCAUCAACAGCAACAGUAGCAGUAGCAUAGCGGUAGUAGCAGUAGAAGCAGCAGUACAGCAACAGCAGUAGAGUAGUAGUAGUAGUCAGUAGGCCUAGAGGAUAAAGUAGGGGGAACGGGGAAGGGUACUUAUCUAACAAAAUAUUGUGCCCCCCCCCACCCUUUGAAAAUUCUGGAUCCGCCCCUGGUGGU